UACGGGAGGCAGCAGUGGGGAAUAUUGCACAAUGGGCGCAAGCCUGAUGCAGCCAUGCCGCGUGUAUGAAGAAGGCCUUCGGGUUGUAAAGUACUUUCAGUCGUGAGGAAGGUGUUAAGGUUAAUAACCUUAGCAAUUGACGUUAGCGACAGAAGAAGCACCGGCUAACUCCGUGCCAGCAGCCGCGGUAAUACGGAGGGUGCGAGCGUUAAUCGGAAUUACUGGGCGUAAAGGGCACGCAGGCGGUUAAUUAAGUUGGAUGUGAAAUCCCCGGGCUUAACCUGGGAAUGGCAUUCAAGACUGGUUAGCUAGAGUCUUGUAGAGGGGGUUAGAAUUCCAUGUGUAGCGGUGAAAUGCGUAGAGAUGUGGAGGAAUACCGGUGGCGAAGGCGGCCCCUGGACAAAGACUGACGCUCAUGUGCGAAAGCGUGGGGAGCAAACCAGGGAUUAGAU
rnacentral:rRNA from 1 species